UCGUACUCUCUCCUUUGUUUUCUCUCUCUUCUUAAUUUUUCCGUCUCCUCUCUUUUCUCUUUGCUCAAACCCUCCUUUCUCUCUCUACACUUGCCUCCUCUUGCUCCAUCUACCGCCGCCCCAUCUACCGCCACUCCACUCUUUCUUUCUUUCACUUCUCUCUUGGCAGCAUUACUGGGGAAUUCAGGAUUUGAGGAUGACGGCGGUGGUGAAUGUUGUCGCCACCAUCGUAAUUGACGGUCUUUUUAUUUACCGGUGCCAGAUCUUUGCAGAUGUGGUGGAAUUCUUCACAAAGUUGGGGUUAUGUUGUGAUGAGGUUGAUGAACAUGUUGUUCUCUUCACGGCGCCAAGGUGAUUAUGGUGAUGGUGGUCGCGAUCCGCCAGCCUACUCCAUCUCUCUAUCUCUUCUUGAGUCCUCUGCUUAAAUCCGAGAAUAAGAAAACGAAGGGAAAGAUGAAAGUGUGUCUCAACCGAGUUUCACUGAGUUCAAAUUGGACGAGAUAAGAGCUGCUGCUUCUGGGUUUUCUUAUUAAUUACUGUUCAUAUAUUUAAGGUUGGAAUUUGCGAGCUUCCAUUUCAUCCAAUUAGUUCGGAGGUUAUUGGAGGAGUUGGUGGAAUGAAAAGUAAUUUCCGAGACGUGUGCUUAAUAAGGACAGCUGCUGCCUCGCAGGGUGCUGCUUCUGUGUUGCUGCUGUAUCUGUGCUACCAUGUUGCUGCUGCUUCUGUCUUUUUCUUGUAAUGUAUCAAUGAUUCUUUUCCAACAGCAUAUAUAGAGUUUUUAAUUUUGCUAUGGCCAUGUGAUCAGAUAUUUCCUUAUUUAUUGUGAUUGAAGGUUGGUAGUAUAAUAACUAUGUGCACAGUCAACACGUUAUGCUAUAUCGAUGUCUCUGAUCUCUCUGUCACAUUCCUCUUUGCCUUGUCAUACUAGGUAAUGACAAGGCAAAACAUGGUUUUUAUCUUCUAAUAGGCAUAAUGGAAGUGAGUGACUCUAGGUUUCAUGGUGUAGAACUUGUUAUCACACAUAAUUUGUAGUUUUUUGAAGUUAUCCAAAGUUGCUUUCUUUGGAGUUUGCCAAGGAAAUAGCUAAAUAUAUGGCCAAAAACAUAUUCGAAUGCA